rnacentral:lncRNA from 1 species
UUUUUUUCUUUUUUUUUCAGCUUUUUAGAGCCACACUUGGCAGCACAUAGAAGUUCCCAGGCUCGGGGUUGAAAAGCAGCUGCAGCUGCUGGCCACGGCCACAGCCACCGCAAAGCAGGAUCCGAGCUGCAAUUGUGACCUAUACCACAGCUCAAGGCAAUGCUGGAUCCUUAACCCACUGAGCAAGGCCAGGGAUCAAACCCAUAUCCUCAUGGAUACUAGUGAGGUUCGUUGCCACUGAGCCACAGUGGGAACUCCCAGGAUGGUGGUUUCUGACCACAGUCAGGCACCUGUGUGGCUUCAUAGAAAAGAGCCCUGAAUAGGACUUCAGUGUCCUGGGAUCCCAUCCUGGAUCUACUUCCUGUGUGACUUGUGUCUUGCUGAUCUCAAAGGCAAUACAACCUUUCUUUGCUCAAGGAAAGGCUAGGGUUUUAAAGUCAGCCAAAGAGUGCUCCAAUAAAUCUUAGCUCUGCCCCUUUUAAAUGCAUAAUUUGGGGCAAGUUACUUAACCUAUGUGAGCUUAUUUUUCUCCUAUGUAAAAGAAAUAAAAAUCACCAACCCGGAGUUCCCAUCGUGGCGCAGUGGUUAACAAAUCCGACUAAGAACCAUGAGGUUGAGGGUUCGAUCCCUGGCCUUGCUCAGUGGGUUAAGGAUCCGGCAUUGCCGUGAGCUGUGGUGUAGGUCACAGACACAGCUUGGAUCCCGCGUUGCUGUGGCUCUGGUGUAGGCCGGUGGCUACAGCUCCAAUUCUACCCCUAGCCUGGGAAUCUCCAUAUGCCACGGGAGUGGCCCAAAAAAUGGCAAAAAAAAAAAAAAAAAAAAAAAAAAUCACCAACCUACAUGAGCUUAUUUUUCUCCUAUGUAAAAAGAAAUAAAAAUCAGCAGGCUCCCUAGCAUGCUGUGGCUCAUGACUGUGCUGCCUGUCACUGGCACCUAUGUGCUACCUGGAAUUUGUUCAGUUCCUACAUCAAGUCUGCUGCUUCUCAGCCAUCUCUGUAUAUUUAGGGACAUUGCAGCAUCUGUAUCAUGAAGGUGUGGCCACUUCUUCAUCCCCUCUAGAGGUUUCUGGCUGUGUGUACCUUUGUUAAGCCUGAGUCCAGGAAGAAGUUCAGCAUGUCAGCUUCCCAUUGUAGCUGUUUGGGUUGAAAAUGACUUUGGAAUGGAAACUGGAAUAAAAAGCUAAGAAAGCAAUUGGUACAGUCCAAGCUCUUAUUGCUCACUACAUGAUAGGCCAAUAAAUUGAGAGAUGAGGUGUUGGGGCAAGGAAUAGUAGCUCCAAUUCAACCCAUAGCCUGGGAACUUCCAUACGCCGUAGGCACAGCCCUGAAAAAAAAAAAUUUAAAAAAAAAAAGUGAAAUGAUUUUGUGCUAAGGGGAAAUAAUUUACAACCCAACAUUAUAGGCUAGCAAAAAUACUAUGGAAAAAUGAUAGUUAAAUAACAAAAGAAAUAUAUCUUUAGACAUAAAUAAAUAAAUAAAUGGAAUGCGUUCACAUCCAAUUAACUACCACUAAAUGAAUUCUAAAGAUGCUUCAAGGGAGAGGGAAAAUUAUGGCAGAAGGAAGCUCAGAAAUGCUGCAAGGAACAAAAGGCAAAGAAAGUGAUGAAUAUAUGAGUAAAAAUAAACAAACACUGGAUACAACAAAAAGUGAUAAUAUCUUAUGAGAAUUAAAAUAUUUAUGAUUAAAACACACAAAAAUAGCAUACAAUGCAGAAGAAAAAUAGAUAAGGUUUGAGUGUUCUAAACUCCUUAGACUAUCGGUGGACAAUAUAAAGGUAAAGGUUAUCAUUACACUUUAAUACGUCAAGCAUUCAUGCUGCAAUUGUUGAAUUACUUCUGAAAGAAUAUAAUAUAUUGUACUUAUUCCAAACUAAUAGAAGGAUAAAGUGGAAUUAUUUUUAAAAUAUGAAGAAGAAAAAACAAUCAAUCCAAAAGGAGGCCAAAAAAUAGGUGAAAAAGAAGUGUAGAACAAUCAGAACAAAUACAACCUAAGAUGACAAUUUUAGCAAAAUAUACCAAGAAUUAUACAAAAUGUAGUUAGACAAAAUGUUUCACAAACAAAAGUUAUCCGACUGGGUUUUAAAACUCAAUUAUAUGACUUUUAAAGAGUCACACUGAAAUAUAAGGAUACAGAAAUACUGAAAGCAAAAUGACUGGAAAAUAUAUACCUUGCAAAUACAAAGCAAAAGAAAGCUGACAUUACUAUUUUCCUAUUUGAGAGAAGAGACUCCAAUAUCACAGUUACUACUAGAUAUCAGAAGGGUCAACUCAUAAUGGUGAAAGUUGAAUUCACCAAAAAAAAUAUAACAAAUCUAGGAGUUUUGGUUGUAGCUCAGUGUAACGAACCUGACUAGGAUUCAUGAGGACACUGGUUUGAUCCCUGGCCUCACUCGUGGGUUAAGGAUCCAGUGUUGCCAUGAGCUGUGGUGUAGGUGGCAGAUGCAUCUGGGAGCCCGCACUGCUGUGGCUGUGGCAUAGACCAGCACCUAUAGCUCCAGUUCAACCUCUAGCCUGCCUGGGAACUUCCAUAUGCUGCAGGUGAGGCCCUAGAAAGACAAAAGAGAAGGAGAGAAAGAAAGGAUAUAUUCACAAAUUUGUUUUAUGGGGCUAUCAUAUUUAUACCAAAAUUAAGAAAGAUUGUAGGAGAAAGAAAUGUUUAUCAUUAUUUAUUCAAAUUGAAGAUAUGGCCAGCCUAUAACUGAGCAAUUCUACUUGAUUACAAACACUGCAGAAUUAGAUAUAUGAGUGUGGCAGGUGCUUGCUAGCCACAUUUUAUGUAAUAUCCAAGAAUGUAACACAAACCAAAUGUCCAUCAACAAUUGUAUACAAAGUAAUAGUAUACCACAAUGAAAAUGAACAAUCUAUGGCAAGAGAAACCAGACCAAAAAGUAUUUACUUUAUGUUUGCUUUUCUAAAUUUCAUAAACAGAUAAAAUUACAUUGUAGUAUUGUGGUAUAUAAGGGUGCCUUACCUUAGUGAUAAAACUAACAAAAAAAAAGAAAAAAGAUGAUUACCAUAAAAGUGUAUAGCUAUCUUUAGGGGAAAAAGAGGAAUUUAUGACCAAAAAAGUGUUCAGGAAGAAUUCUAAGGUCUUCCAAUAUUCUAUUCCUUGACCCAUAUGGUGAUCACAUGGUCAUUUAUUUUAUAACAAGUUUUUUAAUAAUACACUUAUGAUAUAUGCAUAUUUCUGUAUGUUAUUGUUUACACAAAAAUUUUAAUUAACAUGGUAAGUCAAAAUCUAGAUUUCUUUUUGGUUUUAGAUUUUAAAUCAAAAUUUUAGAUUCUAAAUCAAAAUCUAGGUUCACUUUUGAGAAGAAAGAGGUCAUGGAAAGCUUCAAUGUAUUGGUAAUAUUCUAGUUCUUGAAUUGGAUGAUGAGUUCAUUGCUGCUCACUUUAUUAUCAUGCUUUAUCGUUUACAUACAUGUUACACAUUUUCUCCUAUGUAGCAAUCAUUGUAGAUUAUUUUAAAAGGAAAUGGAUAAAGAUUCAGCUUAUUUUAUGCUGUUUCAUUUGCAUUCAGACACUAUCUCUUCUUAGUCUGCAGAAUCUUGAGUUUGGUAAGGUGUAAUUUAUGAGAGCCAUGGGACUGCUGGUUAUGUUCUCUGUUACUUUCAGCAAAUCAGACCUACUGCAUGCAGCCAAAAGACUUCAGCUAGAAGGCCUUCCCACUAAAAUCUGCAAUAAGACAAGGAUGCCCACUCUUACCACUUUUAUUCAACAUAGUAUUAGAAGUCCUAGUUACAGAAUUCAGACAAAUAAAAGAAAUAAAAGGUAUCCAAAUUGGAAGAGAAGAGGUAAAAUUGUCACUCUAUGCAGAUGACAUGAUAAUAUAUAUAGAAAACCCUAAGGACUCCACACAAAAACUACUCAAACUGAUCAACGAAUUCAGCAAAGUAUCAGGAUACAAGAUUAACAUUCAGAAAUUGAUUGCAUUUCUGUAUAGUAACAAUGAAAUAUUAGAAAAGGAAUAUAAAAAUACUUUUUAAAAAUCACAUCCCCCAAAUUAGACACCUAGGAAUAAACCCGACCAAGGAGGUGAAAGAUUUAUAUAUUGAGAACUAUAACACAUUAAUCAAAGAAAUUAAAGAGGAUUCAAAGAAAUAUAAAGAUAUCCCAUGCUCCUGGAUUGGGAUAUUUAGUGUCGUUAAAAUGGGCCAUAGUACCCAAAGCAUUCUAUAGAAUUAAUGUGAUCCUC